GCCGACUCACUCACUACCUAUGUAUCUCUCUAUCUCUCUAUUUCACUCCUCCUCCUCCUCUCUCUCACUCUAUAAUUCCACACUCCCACUCACUCACUCACUCAAUUUUUUCUCUCACACAAUUACAUUCACCACACAACUAAGAUGUGAAACUAAUUACUUCCUUUUAAUCAAACCCAACGCUCUUUCUCACCAUAAAUAUUGUUUGUGUUGGUUGACUUCUCAACAAAGCUAGUCACAUCCACACACAAAUCAUACAUCAACGCAUAUAGACACAUAUAGAAAUAUAUGUGAUAUAUAUAUAUAUAUAUAUAUAUACACACGCAUCUGUAUAAAUUCACAUUUCUAUAUAUACACAAAAACUCACGUUUUUACAUUCAUCUCUCCCUGCCUCUCUCUCUCUCUCUCUUCAUAUAUAUAUAUAUAAAUAUAUAUAUAUAUUUAUAUUUAUCCGGACUAUGAGAGUGUAGGCUUGUUAGGUUUUCUUCUUUUGUGCAUGAUUUCAUUUAGUAAAAAGAAGCCUGACUUUUUUUUGUCUUGCGGGGGAGAAGCAGCGAUUCCUUCCCUCCACACACAACACACAGGCACACACACGACAUUAGGAAAUCGGUCUGUGGAAGAACCACCACCACAAAGAAGUGGAGAAGAAGAAGACUAAGCUAAAUGGCUUGUUUGCGCUGCUUCUCAGCUCCAAUGGAUAGUUUGAGUCGGUAGGAGAGUGGAUACAAGAAAGGCUGAGAGCACCAGGUUGUUACCUUAAUUAGGAUUGCUAACCCACUAAUAACCUACCUGUCAACCUGGCCACCUACCACAUAUCAUUGUAAGUUUUACCAUUUUUCUUUUUGCAUUUGCUCUCCCUAUUUUUCACGUUUUCACUUUUGUUUAUAUUAUAUAUUAUUAUUAUUAUUAUUAUUAUUGUUGUGGUUUUUUAAAAAUAUUUUUUUCUUUUCAGCUUAUAUCAUCA
rnacentral:lncRNA from 1 species